GACGAACGCUGGCGGCGUGCCUAACACAUGCAAGUCGAACGGAAAGGCCCUGCUUUUGUGGGGUGCUCGAGUGGCGAACGGGUGAGUAUCACGUGAGUAACCUGCCCCUGACAUUGGGAUAACUUCAGGAAACUGGGGCUAAUAUCGGAUAGGAGCUUCUGCUGCACGGUGGGGGUUGGAAAGAUUCGGCGGUUGGGGAUGGACUCGCGGCUUAUCAGCUUGUUGGUGGGGUAGUGGCUUACGAAGGCUUUGACGGGUAGCCGGCCUGGGAGGGUGGCCGGCCACAUUGGGACUGAGAGAGGGCCCAGACGCCUACGGGAGGCAGCGGUGGAGAGUAUUACACAGUGGGCGGGAGCCUGAUGCGGCAACGCCGCGUGCGGGAUGACGGCCUUCGGGUUGUGAACCGCUUUCGCCUGUAACGAAGCGAGAGUGACGGUAAUGGGUAAAGAAGCACCGGCUAACUACGUG
rnacentral:rRNA from 1 species